AACGUAGGAGGCAAGCGUUAUCCGGAGUUACUGGGCGUAAAGAGCGUGUAGGCGGGCUGGCAAGUCUGGUGUGAAAGCUCCCGGCUAAACUGGGAGAGUGCAUUGGAGACUGCCAAUCUAGAGGCUGUCAGAGGGUCGUGGAAUUCCGAGUGUAGAGGUGAAAUUCGUAGAUAUUCGGAAGAACACCAGUGGCGAAGGCGACUCACUGGACACGUAUUGACGCUGAGGUGCGAAAGCGUGGGGAGCAAACAGG
rnacentral:rRNA from 1 species